rnacentral:rRNA from 1 species
GACGAACACUGGCGGCGCGCCUAACACAUGCAAGUCGAACGAGCGAGAGAGAGCUUGCUUUCUUGAGCGAGUGGCGAACGGGUGAGUAACGCGUGAGGAACCUGCCUCAAAGAGGGGGACAACAGUUGGAAACGACUGCUAAUACCGCAUAAGCCCACGGUGCCGCAUGGCACAGAGGGAAAAGGAGCAAUCCGCUUUGAGAUGGCCUCGCGUCCGAUUAGCUAGUUGGUGAGGUAACGGCCCACCAAGGCGACGAACGGUAGCCGGGCUGAGAGGUGGAACGGCCACAUUGGGACUGAGACACGGCCCAGACUCCUACGGAAGGGAGCAGUGUGGAAUAUUGCACGAUGAGGGAAACCGUGAUGCAGCGACGCCGCGUAUAGCAGGAAUGGCUUCGGAUUGUAAUCUCGUGUUUUAGGAAAAGAGAAUGACGGUACCGAGCAAAGAAGUGACGGCUAACUACGUG